rnacentral:rRNA from 1 species
GAUCCUGGCUCAGAUUGAACGCUGGCGGCAGGCUUAACACAUGCAAGUCGAACGGUAACAUAAAGAAGCUUGCUUCUUUGAUGACAAGUGGCGGACGGGUGAGUAAUGCUUGGGAAUCUAGCUUGUGGAGGGGGAUAACUACGGGAAACUGUAGCUAAUACCGCGUAGAAUCGAGAGAUGAAAGUGUGGGACCUUCGGGCCACAUGCCAUAGGAUGAGCCCAAGUGGGAUUAGGUAGUUGG